AUUGAACGCUGGCGGCAGGCCUAACACAUGCAAGUCGAGCGGUGCGGCGGACGGGAGAGUAAUGCCUAGGAAUCUGACUGGUAGUGGGGGAUGACGUCCGGAAACGGGCGCUAAUCCCUCAUACUAUCAGAUAAGCCUAGGUCGGAUUAGCUAGUUGGUGGGGUAAAGGCCUACAAAGGCGACGAUCCGUAACUGGUCUGAGAGGAGGAUCAGUCACACUGUAACUGAGACACGGUCAAGACUCCUAUGGGAGGCAGUAGUGGGGAAUAUUGGACAAUGGGCGAAAGCCUGAUCCAGCCAUGCCGCGUGUGUGAAGAAGGUCUUCGGAUUGUAAAGCACUUUAAGUUGGGAGGCGUUACCAACAGAAUAAGCACCGGCUAACUUCGUGCCAGCAGCCGCGGUAAUAC
rnacentral:rRNA from 1 species